AGUAUGGGGAUAUCUAUAAGGAAUCAACUUGAAAGGUUUAGAAUCUGGCUUAAGGGGUAUCCUGUGAUCUAACUGUCUAACAGGGGGUAAGGUGGAAGGUUCUCCAAACACAUCAGUAUAAUCAGCCAGGAGUGCACUUAUGGAGUCAUCAGUGUGAGAUGUUACCUCAGGAGUAUCAACUGCUAGAACACAGGGCCUGCGGAGAGUUUCUUUCUUCUUCCGUCUCAGAAACUUUUGGAUAGUUUCUCCCUUCCUCAGUUUGAUGUCUGUCUCUCUCAAAUCUCCUUGUAGCUUCACUUCCUGCCCUUCCUGAUUAAAGGAGAAUUGCAGAUGCUUGAAAUCAAAGGUUACAGGACUGUGCUCCCUCAUCCAAUCGACCCCCAAUACCAUAUCAUACGGCUCAAUUGCGAGCACAUAUACAUCAUGAGUGAAUGUAUGCCCCUGCAUUUCCCAGGUCAUCCGUGGAACCCAGCUAUUACACUGUAGCACCUGCCCAUUAGUCACCUUGACUGCGAACGGUUUCCUGGGUACUACUAAUUGAGGAUUUUCCUCGAACACUGAAGCUUUAACAAAAGUGUGAGAACUUCCUCCAUCCAAAAAUAUUGAGAGCGGUUUCCCAUUAAAUUUCCCCUUCAGUUUGAUAGUGCCCUGCAACAGUUCACCAGUCAUAGAAUGGAUGGAAAAUUCUACAUCUUUAUGACUACUAGCCCCACUAUAUUCUAUCAUUUCCCCUUCGGUCAAGAUUAAUUCCUCCAAUUUCCCUUUGUCUUCAUCAUCAACGAGUAACAUGUGAAUCCCCUUCCUACUACAUACAUGCCCGGGCCCAUAUCUAUCCCCACAUUUGAAGUAUAGAUGAUUGGUCUUUCUGUACUGCAAUUCUGAUGGGGAUAUUUUCUGGAACACAGGAGAUCCCCCUCUUUUACUACUCUCGGCUCCUUCAAGAGCAUGAUUCACUCUAGGUGAAGGCAGAGCAAAACUCUUGGAAGCCAUCUUCUGUUUCUUGAUGAAUGCUUCAAAGGCCUUUUCCUGCAUUCUCGCUGUCUCAAAGGCAUCUGACAGAGUUCGAGGCUUGUGCAUUUUGACGUAUAUCUUGAGCUCUUCAGAUAACCCACUCAAGAAGCAAGAGAUAAAGAAAGGUUCUGUUAGUCCUAGGGUCUUGAUCAAAACUCUGGCUUUGAGCUCUUCGAAUUUCUCCUGAUACGCUAAAACGGUGGAGGUUUGCUGCAAUUUACUGAACUCUUCUACUGCAUCAUCUUGUCCCACUUCUCCAAAUCUCUUUAUGAAUUCUUCUUCAAACUCAGGCCAAGAAAGCUUACUUAGACCCAUCUUGAACCCUUGAAACCAUAUAUCUGCCUUAUCCUCUAAAUGCAUUUCUAUCAUAUCGAACCAUUGUUCCUCUGCCACAUGAUAUAUCUGAAAGUAUUUGAUACAUUUCCUCAGCCAUUCUCGAGGAUUUUCCCCUCUGAACAGAGGAAAUUCCACCUUAGGGAAAGGGCCAUGAAAAUUCUUCCUUACUCCACGUUCUUGAUGGGGCUCAUCCAACCAAAUUACGUUCCGAUUACCCGAUCGAUUUGGAGACUUCUCUGCGUUACUGCCGGGACCCAAAAUUCCCUUAUCUCCAUUGAUGGUUCGCAUGAGAUUGCCAUAUUGAGUCGACACAGUUGCUACUAGGGUCUUCAAUUCUACAGUGAUAGUCUCCAACCGUUCAUCGGUCUGCUUCCUAUUCAGAAGAGAAUCUUCAAUGAAUUCCUGCAGUUUGUUUUCUUACCGUUUGAUCUGUUCCUCCAGAGCUUUGAAUCUUGUACCUUCGGCCAUGAUGGGCAAUCAAAAGCUACUGAAUCCGAGGAUCAGUAGCUCUGAUACCAAAUGUUAUGACUUGAUUCCAGAAUUAAGAAAAGAAUUGAGGUGGGGUUUAGGGAAGAGAGAAAAGUCAGAAAUUAGGGAGAAUGAGAAAGGCUUUUGAUUUCAUCUUUCCGAAUCAAUCAGUAGUACACGGAAGUAGCUUAUUUAUCCAGCUUAUAGUCACUUCCUAUAACAGAAUAACUACUUGCUACUCUAGUCGGUUGAGCUGUAACUUCUCCAACUAUCUCUAGCACGUGGCUAUGAUAUGAGAAUACCGCCAAAAUAUAGCAUUAAUGGAUUUAUUAUACAAGCCAUAACAAAGAUCACAAGGAAGUAAACUUCAGAGCUCCAAAUGAAGUAAAGUCAUAGACAUAGUAAGAUUUUGUUUAUGUUAAUUUUCUUUUUUCAAUUAAGACAUGGUAAAUUUCUUUUCUUUUUUUUUCUGAGAAUAUAUGGUUUAAAUUUUUUUUUUUUUGCACCAGUAAAGAGAAAUGCUUAUUUGUUAAGGAAAAAUAGCAUUCUCCCGAUACUAAUCUAUACAUGUUUUCUGCGUAUACUAGGAAAGUUGAGAUAGCAGCAGAAGUUUAUAAGCCGUGAAGCAAGAGAAACUUCAUAUAGAUAACCUUAACUGUAGGAGAGAUGCUUUCUAAAUUGCCGUAACGUUACAAAGCAUGAUUAUAGCAGGAAACUUGAAGAUUGACUUUUCAGGGAAAAAAUUUGAAAAGAAAGUUGGAGAUUGAUGUUUGAUAUUACCAAUAAAGAAAAGAAAUUUGGAGAUUGAUUUUUGAGGGAGAAAAAGACAAUAAAUUAAGUAGUAGCUUUUGAGAAGAAUUCUACAAAGAAAAUAAAAGGGUCUAUUUAACGGGUGUUCAAUGAAAAAAUUGAAAGCAAAUGAAAAAGUCGUUUAUGAUAAAAAUUCAUAACAAAUUAAAAGCAGUGUAAACAUAAAGAAAUAGAAAUUGAAUAAUGAUUCCGCGUUGCCCAAGGUGCUAUUUAGAUCACAUGUUAAAGGCAUAAAAUUAAAUCUAUUCUUCUAUACCAAAGAGCUGAUUGAUUGAUUAUUACAAUGGAGAAUCAACUGGUUGUUAAAUUGUGAAAAUUACAUAAAUAAAGAGUUAUUGAUGUGACCAAUGUAAAAGGAGUCCGAGUAAAACUUACCUAAACAACUUAGCAAAAUUACAGGUGAACAGCCAGUCAUAAUUUUUAUAAUUGUACAUAAUAAAAGAUAAAGCAUUGUGUGAUAUGAUAUGAUAGGACUUCCCAUCAGAAAAUGACAUUGCCUCAAUUAGUGGCUGGCAAUUGCUGUAUUUAAGUUUAUUUGACAGAUAGGCUGUAGAAAUUGGGUACAAAAUUUCCUCUUUUUGUCUGUCUAUACUGCCUUUUCAAAACUUUACCUACCUCAUUAAAAUAACAUAUCUAUUCCAUAACAAUUGAAACCACUUCCGCUGGAACUAACGAUUUCAUGGGAUUAUUAAGCCUUAUUUCAAGCAGAAAAAUUGGUCGCAAAAAUGAUAAACUAUUUACUGAUCUUGCAAACCAGAAAGGCUGGAAAAAAUGCCCCCAAUGCAAGUAUUUUGUUGAGCGCAAAAGCGGAUGCGAUCAUAUAAAAUGCAGGUUUGAAUUCUAAAUUUUUUCUUCAAUUGCUUCUUAUUCGUGAAAUUUAACGACUUCAUUAUUUCCUACAUCUUUGUAAUUUAUUUAUUUUUUUGAAGACGGUUCCGUUAAUUUCUUUGAACCGAUUAUUACUGAUUUUAAAGUUCUUCUUGAAGGGCUAUUCUCUCAGCAUAAGAUUUGUCAGAGUUAAUCGUCUAUGUCGAAGCCAUUAUGGGUUUUCAACAAUUGAUUUUCUUCACCACUUAUAUUAGCAUGGUUUAAUAAAAAAUCUUUUAUAUGCGUGUAAAUUCUUUUUUUUUUUUGUUGCAAAUGUAAUUCCAUUUUUUUUUCUGCGCACAUUGAGGAAAUAAUUUCUUGUGUAGAUGUGGAACCGAAUUCUGCUACAAGUGUGGUAAUAAGCAAAAAUGGUGCUACUGCAUCGAGCGUGCAGGAAUGGGUAGCGUUUACUACCCAUUGAAAAGGAAAGCACAUCAAAAAAGAUGGUUCUUCUGGAAAAAAAAGGCAGAAAAUGCAAGUCGUAAUUAGGGUCGAUCCCUAGUCUGUCAAGACAAGCUUUCAACUCCCUUUCAUAAUACUUUAAUACAUUAAUAUUUCCUUGUUCAUUUUCUACCCCAUGUAGUGUCCUUUAAUUCCUUGACAUUGCAAAUGAUUGAGAGAAUGCAUUUCACAUUAAUCGUUGCUUUAUGUGUUGCACAUUUGACUAUGCUAAGAACUCUUAUCAUAAUUAUUUUCUUUGGCUGUAAAAAAAAGAAAAAAUCUCAUCAGUUAUUUGUUGCUAGAAAUCAUGUUAAACCGAAAAAAGGUUCUUUUCUUUGUGUAGUAAUGGGAUGAGCAUAGGCUUGUCAACGGUCCGAGUCUAGACCAGGAUCCAGACCGAAUCCGUCAAAUUAUUCCGAGUACGGGUAGUGAUUUAAUUCCGUUACCCGGAUCCGCAUCCAUUUUGUCAAACAGAAAAACGGGUCGAAUAUGGAAUAUAGUAUUCUGCCCCGUAUUUGACCCGAAUCCGAAUAUAAAUGGAUUAAUAAUUUAAAAUAUAUAUAUUUAUCAAUAUAAUUUGAUUAGGUUGAUGUAUUUGAGUAAAGUCAAUUUGAUUUCUUUUCUUAUUUGUUUUUUUUUAUUAGUUAGAAAUUAGUUUACAAAUAUAUUUUUUUCUCAUUUUUAUUAGAAAUUAUAAGUUUGAUAGAUUUUUUCAGGUACACCUGACCCGGAUCCGAGAUUCGGAAUAUAGAGUAAAAGCCCCGUCGGAUAAACGGAUCAGAUCCGGAUUCAAUAUGAUAUGCCAGGCCCGGGUCCGAAAUAAUGAAUUUCGGCCUGGACCCGGCCCGUUGAUAGGCCUAGAUGAGCACACAAAAAAAUAGAGAUGGACAACAACAUACACAAAUAAAAUUGUAGAACACAGGGUAGCACUCCAAAGUACCACUUGCUUUUUCGUUGAGUUGGGCGUUAGCAAUUGGGUUUGGUAAAUAAAUGAGGCCCAAAAGCAAAAGAGAAAAAUACUAAUAGGUUAAUGGUCAUGAUUAAUCGACUAUUAAGUCCACCCAAUAUAGCCUGAGAACCAGCAAUAAACUUUUCUUCGGUAAAGAAGGAAAAACAAAGAUAUAUAUAUAUAUAUAUAUAUAUAUAUAUAUAUAUAUAUAUAUAUAUAUAUAUAGUUGUCUUCUGACUUGAAAAUUCCUUAAGAUGAUUUUGAAUUUUGGUCGCCCCAAUGAAUGAUGCACAUAGACAAUGGUAUAGCCAUUUUUGCUGCUUGUGUUUUGUCUCUUUUACAGCAAUAUACAGGAGCAAAGAAAUAAAGAACAAUUGCACAGAAAAGAAAUUUUUGUGCAACUAACAUUUUGUAAGAAUGCCUAUAAAAAAAAAAUUUCAAUUACUAACCCGAUUAUAAAAUUGAGUGUACAUAGUUUGAGUAUAUAUCCCCAACAAUCAAUCUGGCAUUUCUUGACUAAAGAUUUACCGUCUAGAUUUACCUCUUCUUCCACAACUUUUUUUUUAUCCCAUUCAAAAGAUUUAUCAUCUAGUUUGAUGAUUUCUUAUGAUCAUGGAAAUAAUGAAUUUUGAUGGAAAAUAGGUCACAAGUGAUUUUCAGUCUUAGAUUUUGGGUUCUCAAGGUAUUGGGUAUUUAGGGAUUUUUGGGUACUCUCAAUCAGGAGUUUUUGGAACAAUCUAUUUUGACUCUCACGACAAGGGUUUAUUUGGAGGUAUCAAAAUAGGUGAUUUGGGAGGGUUUGGGUUGGGUAAAAUGGGUAAUAAGUAUAAAUGAAUCAACUCAUUUAUACUCAUUUAAUUAGAUAGGUAUAAAUAAGUAAGUCAAAAAAUGAAUUGGGUAGCCCAAUUAUCCAUUUAUAACCCAUUCAUUUUAACUUUUGUAAAUUCAUUUAAAUUCAUUUUUUGCAAACUAAGUUAUCAAUUUAUACCAUCCUUUGUACCCAUCAUUAGUUUUAAAUAUUUACUUAUAAUACUCAAUAAGCCUAAUUACCAAUUUUUUUUUCAUUUAUACUCGAUGUCGCAAAAUUACAUAUUAUUUAAUAAUUAAACAAUAAGAAUAUAAAAAUUUGAACUAAAUACUAUAAAAGUUAAUAUAAAAACUUAAUCCAAAAAUUUUGAACUCCUAACAUUUUCUUCAUAUAUAAAUUUAAAAUUUCAUUUUACAAAGAUAAGAAAAGAGGCUAAAACUUAUCAUAAAUUGGUAAUACUGAAAAAUGAGCAAGUUAACAAACUAUGAGAAAAUAAUAUAAUAAGAUAAAACCAACAAAUAAUAAUAAUAAUGAAACAAAAGUAGUUAACAUCAUGACAAAAUGAAAAUUUUGAAAAAAAAAAUGGGUGGGGGAAGAGAGAAGGUUUGGGGGGAAGACAAUUCUAAAUGAGUUAAUUGGAUUACCUAUUAAAUGGGUAUUAUUGGGUAACCCAUUUAUACCCAUCUAUUCAUGGACGGGUAUGGAUAAAUUUAUUUAGAUAGGUUAGUUUGUCACCUAUAUUCAAAACUUAGCAUCACAUAACUGACCUUGGAAAAGAAACAGUCCACUGGGGUGUGAAAAUGAAAAUAUAAUCGGACGCCAUGACAUCAUCACUCAAGCCUGAGCUUAAGGACUCAUAUUUAUAUAUAUUUUCAACUUCAACAAUUAUUUUAAACUCUCUUGUCUAAACGAGAAAGUCGUCUACAUCAUAUUCUGAAAUUGAAGUGACAAACAUUUAAUAAUUAAGCCACAGUAAACCAUUCUCAACACAUUUUUUCCACUUUAUAACAUUUUUUUUUCCCUUCUCCAAACUUUGAAAAAUACAAAAUAUUUCACGUUUAUGUGCUUAAAAUAAGAGCUUAUAUGGUGGGUAAUCUUAUAUUUUUUUCAUGCAAUAUUUAUAGGAAAACAUCUAAAUAUUGUAGCAGAUAUUUAUUUUUAAUUUUGUAAUUGGUAUAUGAAUAAACUUUAUCAUUUAAUAUAUAUAUACACACACAUAUAGACACAUACACACAUGACUAUACGAAAUUUCUCAUUCGCUAUAGAAAAUAAUAUUACAUACCGGAAGUCAAACAUUGACUUUUUGAACACAUGACUAGUAACCAAAUUUCCUUUUUGAACACAUGACUAGCAUAGCCAUCAUGACUAGUAACCAAAUUUCCUUUUACUUAAUUUGUCAAGCUGAAUACUUUAAUUGCCAAGCUGAAUACCUUUUACAACAAUCAAUUCACUAUGAAUCAAGUUUUUUGUGCUGUCCGGCCGGAGAAUAGCCCAAAACGAAUAGAAACUUAGUCCAUUCACUUCUAUUAACAAGUGCUUUGUCCAUUCAAGACUCAAGACCAAGAAAAUAAGCAGCUCCCAGCUGGUCCAUUCAAAACAUCAAACCUUGGACUCAAUUAAUCAACAUGACACAAGCAGAUACUUUCUAUUAACCCAUUCUACUGGCUACAUUGCCAAAACCACACCCUUGCAACAAAAAGAGGGGCAAGAAUUGUUGCCAAAGCAUCCAUUUCCGAAGGUUAACUCUCAAAACUAGCUCAAAUUCUAAAAUUUAAUUCACAUUUUUAUACAUCAUUUUUAACACCAUAUACAAAAUCUAUAAAUGAUUUUUUUUUUAAUGACAAAAAAGCAAGAUUUAAGAAGCAGGAAGGAGACGAAAAAAUUAUGCCGCUAUUACUUUACAUCUUGUAUGGCUCCGUUUUGGGAGUGUUUUUGAAAAAUUUUACUAUAUCAGUGUAUAUGAAAAAAAUUUUAUUAUAAAAUUUUUUUGAAAUAUUUGAUAUAUUAGAUUAUUGAAAUGUUUUUUGAAUUAUUGUAUAUUACUAUAGCAUUAUAUUUGAAAAACUUAUUUUAAAAAAAUAAUCAAUCCAAACAUAGCAAUGUAUUUGAAAAAUUAAUUUUUGAAAAACUCUUGAAUUCAACGGAGCUAGAAUUUAUAGUAGUAAAACGUACGGUUGACAAACCUAAUAGAAGCAUUGUUACAUGUGUCAGUUGUCGUACACGACCAUUCGUAUGUAGCCUCCAACCCUGUUGCAAUAAAUUCCAUCCUGUGGUAAUCUUAGGCAUUUGAAUGAUUCCAAACUGCACAGCCAAGAGACCCAAACAAAAAUUCCAAGCCCUCGUGGCAUUCAAAAUUUUACAUGUACAGCCCCUCAAAUUGAAUCACGAAUAGGACCGCUUCAAUUUUACAUCUCCUUAGUCAACACGUAACCCUGUUUGGAAAAUUGCGGCACAUUCAACCCUCUUCGUUCAAAGUGUCGAAAAUGACUCCAAACCAACUCCAACCUCCCAUAUUAUAAAUACCCCCAACAUCUCCACACUUCUGCAACAAAUUAACAUCUAUAGCAAGAAUAAACCAAGAAUCAACCAAUUCAUCUACAUUUUCAGCUAUUAAAUUUCACCUCUUCGUUCGAAUUGAGCUAACAUUUUUGCGGGUUUUAGUCGAUUUUCGGGCUCAAGAUGGAUUGUAGAAAAGCAGCGAUUCUUGUAUUGGUUUUUGUCAUCUUUGUUGCCAUCAUGGGCCAAGUUCAUGUGGAUGCAGCGAGGUUGUUGGCAGAGGAAGACUUCGCAAGUGCCAAUCACUUGGAUACAUUUCCUUCGGUGUAUGCAAAAGCAAGAGACACGAUGUCGCAUUGGCUUGAAAGAUUGGCUUCUGGACCUAGCCCUAGAGGACCUGGUCAUUAAGCUUAAAAGUAUGGCCAGCAAGUAUUUAGAGAGCGGUUCAGCCAUGCAAGGACAAUGAGCAACCAACACUAGUAUAUUUUGGUAGUAUUUACCAUAUAGAGAGGGUCUAAGACUCUGUUUUUUUUUUAUUUUGGUUAUUUCAUUCAUUCAUUCUUUCUUUGAUGUCUUGUUACACGAUGAAAUCUUAAAGCAUAGAUGUAUAUUUCUGACUUUUGCCCUUGAAGUGGCAGUUAUAAUGAUAGAUAUUUUUUUUUCUCAAUGAUUUCUUUCAUUUCUUUUGCCCUUGAUCAAUGGUUCAAGCUUUCUACAAUAGCAAGUCCAUGGAUAACUCAGGUGUUCCAGUUCAUCAUACGUUAAAAACAUGAAAACAUUUUUCUGCAGAAACUUCGACCAACAAAUUAGAAAAUUUUCUGAUGGAUCAUGAGUUGGCUGCAUGAGACAGUAGUGUAGUGCAGCUUUUAUAGAUCAUUCCUCACAAAGCAUAGAUUAUCAUUUCCUACAACAUACUAUCGAGGAUGAAAACUUCCAUCUACUCCAUAAAGUUGUAUUCUUUUAAGGGUUCUCUGUCUAUAAUAAGUACCUUUAGGAUACUGGUGAAAUGGGAUGAAAUAUUUAUUAUGAUGGCUCUAAUCAAUUCUAUCAAAUUUUUUAUGUGGAUAUCUAUUUUUUCUGUCUAUUCUUAUCUUAUUAAAUGUCCAAACCCUUAUUUAUUUUGUUUAGGUUUAAGUCUCCUACCUAUUAUUGUUACGACAUGUUAUAGUAGCUUGAUUAUUGUUGUUAAGAAACAAUCACAUUUCAUAUUUUUGUCUCCAUUUAUUAUUAUUAUUAUUUUUUGUUGUGAUCAACAAAAAGAGAAAGGCAAAAGGAGAAAAAGACAAUUUAUCGGCCUUGGCAGACUUUUAUUUCAGAAGAUGUAAAAAACUUAUAUAUAUAUAUAUAUAUAUAUAUAUAGAGAGAGAGAGAGAGAGAGAGAGAGAGAGAGAGAGAGAGAGAGAGAGAGAGAGAGAGAGAGAGAGAGAGCAAACAAAAGCCAUAAAAUGAUAGUAGCUAGUUGCAUUGAAGUCAACCUUGAAGUUUAUUUUCUUUCCAUUUUUUCUUCUUGUUCCCUUUUUGGGAGUAUAAUAGUCUUGCGUGGAAAAUGAUAUACAAGACUGUUCUUUUUUUUUUCUAAUUUUGGGAUUAUACAUCUCACAAAAUCAUAGAGCAAUAUGACGUUUUCUUUCUUUUUUUCUUCUUUUAAAUAGUCAAAACAUGGGAUAGAAAAAAUGAUGCGGAAGCAGGUAGAAGGAAUGGUUUCACGAGCUUUUUCCAAAAAUAACAAAGAUGCGAUUCAAGAAAACAAAAUUACAACAAAAGGCAGAAAACGAAAAAAAAAAAGAAAAACAAAGUGCUACUCCGAUGAAGUCCGAUGCCAAUGUUGGCGUCGGUUCUCCUCUGAAGGGAAGUCCGGCGCUGAUCUUCGGACUUCCUCUGAAGUUGUGGCAGUGCAGCUUCCGUUUGCUCUCUCUUUUGCCUGCUCCAUUGUGUCCAAAACCUUCCCAGCAACUUGUUCUGCAUCGAAAAACUGUAGUGGGAUAACCUUGAGAAGAUAUGCACACCUAAAAAUAUAUUUAUGAAGUUUUUCGCCUGAGGUUGCCCAGGCAAAGAUGUCAACUGGCGGUGUACGUAUAGAGAAAUAAAAAAGAGUAAAUCUUUCCUAUAUUGACUGUGUAUACACUAUCAUCGUUGAAUUCAUGACAUAUGUAUAAAAGUUGAAUUUCAAAUUCAAAUUUUGUAUAAUUGUCAUUUAUCCAACGCUGAUAAUGUAUACACUGUCAGUGUAGGAAAAAUUAAUCCAAUAAAAAAUUUUAAAACAGAAGAGCAAAAGCGGAAAUUUAAGGAAACAAUCAGCAAUUCAAAAAGAAAGAGAAGUAACCAUUUAAAUAGAUGAAUGUAUUGUGCUAUUAGUUUGAUUUCAUUAGUAAAAAGAGUAUUCUAAAUAAAUAGGGAUAAUUUCAGAAACCUCCCUUGAGGUUUUUGACAAAUUCAGGAAAGCUUUCCUCAAUAUUUUAAAAUUGCACAUACCUCCCCUAUCAGUACAAAAGUUCUCUACUACCCCUCAUAAAAUACUUAAAGACUUUUUUUUUUGGAAAACAUUCAAAAAUUCAAAAAUCCAAACCAAAAGCAAAAACAGCAACAAUUGAUUCUCUCUCUUGGGCGUCCCUUACGUUGCUUUUUUUUCCCCACUUCAUCCUUUGCGCAACUCUCAUCUACCCAACUUUCCUGCUCUACUUCAAGACACUACCUGUUGUCCCUCAACUCUUGCCCGUGCUUAUCCCCCUCUUUUUCCUUCUCGGCUUCUCUUUUUUUUGACUUUUCCUACAUCAAUUCCCUUCUCUUUGCAAACUUGAUUUGAUUAGACUCAUCCCCUCCUCCCUUUUUUUUCCUAUUCAGGGUAUAGUGGGUUUGAAUUUUUUUUUUUUUUGUAUCUAUGUUCUUUAUCCAAUUUUGGUUGAUCAUGGGUGAUAAAUGUGACGGCCCCACCUCCCCCUAGGGUGAACCAAAGGGUUCGGCGGACCGCCUGCCCGACUCUCGCCAAGACUCACUCACUCACAUCAAAUGAAAUAAGGUGCAACCUCAAUAAUAAACGAAAUAACAGUUCACAAACUUGGGACAUACAAAUACAUUCAUUUCUAUUUUAACCAUCCAUACAAUCCCAAAUACAUCAAAAUAUUGGAAUUCUGAAUACAUUCAACCCUAAUCGAGCGACUCGUGUGAGAACAUUUACAAAAGUCAAAAACUAGACUGUGCUAGUCUGUACCGGUCUCACGCCUCACUCGUACCCCCUGUAAGGAAAACAAAUGGCGUGGAAUGAGUUAAAAACCCAGUGAGGUUCCAAAUAGCAAAUCGACCAUUGUUUAUCAGUACAAGUUUCAAUGUAGCAAUGAAUGAGCAUGAAAAGUUCAUAAAAAUGAGCAAUAACACUUCAAGUAGCAAAUCUCAAUAUAAGCGAGUGUAAAGUUUGAAAACGAAACAAUAACACGAUAAGUACUAAUCAUUCCAAGUAUAAGGAUAUGGAUGGCUCUCAGAAGCCAAAUUCCCAUUGCAUCACCAGAGCUUGAUCAAGUAAUAGUUUGACACUCCGUCAACUUUCAAGUAAGUAACCAAUCCAGUAGAGCACCGCUGAAACUACUCUCCGUCCACCAUCCAAACCCCCUACUGGGCCCAAAAUCCUCAAUAAACACUGGUAGUAAUACUCGAGUAUACCGAUUAGUCGAGAAGAUAUCACUCCACUCGACAAAACAAAAGACCCAGGGUUCGUUACCCAAUCGACCAAGCCCUUGCCGGCUUGACUCGAGUAACUCGCCACAGGGUUUCUGGAAUUCCAGGAAGUGCGCACCAUAUAUACAAAUAUAUCAAAUCCAUUGCAACAAUAAACAAGUAUAUCUCAUAUUAUGGCAAGUGCGAUAAAGUACACUCUUGCCCGAUCAAACAAAUGACGUAUCAUUAAAUCACAUUGGUCAAGUAUUGAAAACAAGCGUCUAGUUCAAUCAGGUAUUUGGAAGCACUCACCAAAGGUCUAGUGCCUCUCAAAAGUCAUGUUCAGGUCCAACUCCUUGGUUGGAGUCCAAAUCUGCGAUAAAAUAUCAUUUGCGACUGUAAAACUCUCUAGAGUUCGAAACAUAGGAGUUUCGCUUCAAGAAAAUCAAGUAAAUGUAACUCGUUUAAGUAGUAUUCAAGAUACUUAUCAAAUUUCAAAAAGGUCAUGCUCGCUUUUAAAACUUUGAAACUUUGAAUCAAUUAUACUUUGAAAUAUUAUUUGAGUCGAAAAAAUGGAGAAAACGUAUUUCUAUUAGUCGUAAGUUUCAUUUUUCCAAGGGUACAAGGUCGGCCAAGUUCUCACUUAUAUACCUCGAUAAAAGAAGACGCAAAUAUUCUAGACAGUUCAAGUAGUAUUCGUUCUCAAAUCCUUACCUAGUCCUCGAGUGCAAAUAUGGGCGUGCCCUUUGUAUUUACCUAUUUUCCAGCCAUUUAUGGCUUCAUUUUUUUUCUCAAUCAGUCCCAAAGUCAUACACAAAAUCAUCUCAUUUUCAUAGCCGUUCAAUAGGCUCAAAGUUCUACAAGUACCAAACCAAGCUAGGAACAUGUGCGGAAAUGAGGUUUGAGUCAAGAAACAAAAGACAGAUUUGACGUUGUUUUGCAUAACGGACACGACUGAGGCUACACUUAUCGGAUUGGAAUGUAAACUAUACCGUUUUGAAGCUAAGACAAAGACUUACAACUUUAAUGAAGGUCACUCAGUCCAGUUUCUAAUGUAUCCAAGUCAUAUUCCCAAUUUACAGAACCGGAUUCCUACCAACAGGCUAGUUAACUGCACUACAAUCAAAUGGCCAUAACUCAAGCUACCGAAGUCCGAUUAAGGCGUUCUUAGGGGCGUUGGACAGCUGAAACAUAGGGCUAAAAGUUUCAUGUUUUGGUCAAAGACUGGUUUGAUAUGGAUUAAGGUGAAAAAUGCAGCAAACGUGAGGCAAUGUCAAAACUGUCUGCUGGACACUACCUAGGGCAGUCUUAGGGGUAUUUUUGUCUUUUCAUGAGCUACGUUGCUCCGAUUGAGCUGAAUUUUGCAGGAAACUAUAAAACAUCAUUCUAUACAACUUUCAUGUUUUAUGCUAAGUCUAAUUCGGCCUCCAACAUGGUGAACUAGAACCAGGCAGAACAGGGUAUACACUAACUUCAAUUCUGGAAAUUUGCUACAAUCAAGAUAUAAUUCCCAUUUCUAGUUUAAAACCAUCACUACCACUCAUAUACAAGCUUGUAUACAUCAUAUACCAUCCAUACAACAAGUAUGAGAUGGAAAUGAUCAUUCAAACCCUAACUCAAAUGCAUCACCCCAAUCAUCCAAAAUCUCUUGAUUUAAGCAUCACAAUCACAAAUACAAGUUACUAAACAAUUCCAACAUGAUUAAGGGAAAAAGAAAAGAGUGGUCAGCCAUUUUACCUCAAAACUAGAGCUUGCUAGUGUUCUCUUUCACUUCCCCUUGAAAUUUUUAGUUCCCUAAGCUUCCCAAGCUUCCAAUUUACAAGUUAAUCGGUUUAGAAUCUUGUUUUUUUCACUCAAAUGGUGCAAAUCAAGAUGAAGUGAAGUUGUUUUUCUCUUGCUCUCUCUUUCUCUCUCUUAUUCACGGCUAGGAGGAAGAAAAUGAGAGCAAUUUGUGUGUUUUUUGAUGAUAAAUAUGGAGGAAAAUUGGUUGGUCAACACUUAAGGGAUGGUUGCCACUUGUCGCAACCAAAAUCCAUCUCAAAUUUUUUUCUUUUCCUUGCAUUUUUUGGUCAAAUAUUUCGGCUAAGAGGGCUGAGGAUGAGGGAGAUAUUUUGCACCAAUAUCAAUGAUAUUUUUUGGUGAGGAAGUGGUAGUCAAGUGGUGUGGUCAAUCGGUAGUGAGCGAUACCCGUAGGUUCGAGCCGAUUUUCCUUAAAUCGCGUAUACUAGGGUUUUAACUUAUAAUUCACUAACUUAUUAUUAUCACCUCUAAUCCCACACUUAAUAUCAUCUAAAACUCACUUUUAAUAACCAAAUUUGUUCCACACUUCGUACCGGAUAGUCGCACUACGGAUAGGUGUAAAAUCCUAAUUCGCAGUAACUUGAAAACGAAAAGGGAAAACCCUUCAUUCUAUGUUCAGUUAUACUUAUUGUGGGGUGAUUGGAUAGUAGGCCCAAUAUAAAGUCAUAAUUUCCAAAUAAAAGAGAAUUUUAAGAAAAAUAUAAGGGAUUUUACAAGUUCUCACAAUAAAAUGGGUUGUUGAAAGAAAACGAAAGGCUGCAAAGGGUGGAAGAGUAAGGGGAUUUGACAUGUGGGAUUGGUUCUUGAUGGAGUGUUGGUUUUGGAUAAAAUUUGGGGUUUUUUAUUUCUGGUAAAAUGUGAUGGAGUAUUGGUUGAGUUUUAUCAAUUUAAUAAUAAGAGGCGGGUGUAUAUAUAUAUAUAUUUUUUUUCGACACAGGGGUGUCCAGAACCAUUGGGCCCGAUUAAUCCCCUACGGUUGUGAGAGCCCCGCCCCAAGGUUCACAACGCGUUAGCUCUCCGGGGGUCGAUCCAGUGACCUGCCCCUAAAGAGGUGUAUUUACCUUGUAGAGAAAGUGUUGGGGCUGGAUAGAUUGUAAGAAUUAGCCUAGGCUACCGAAAGUAAAUUGGAUUGCGAUGUUUUGCGUGCCUACAAUUGUUGGAUUUGCUUUUGAUUCAGCUUGGGAUGUUUGCUUGGCUUUUCUGAUGGUGUUGCCCAGAAAAGAGGCAAUCAUCAAAAUUCUUUUUAUUUUAUUUUAUUUUUUAAAAAUUUUUAGUAGAGAGGAUUUCUUGGCUUUUGAUAGUCUUGCUUGGAAGAAGACAGUCAACAGAGAAGGCAAUUAGUGAAUACGAUCAGCAAAAAUCUUUUUCCAUUUUUUUUUGGCAGAAAAGGGUAGUUUAAGAUAUAUAUGACGAAAAAUGUAUGCUAUUGGGUCUAUUUUGAAGCAUAAAUAGUGAAAGCAAGAGUGGUGGAUGUAAUUGUUAAAAUUUAAGGGGAGCUCUCUAAAAUUGUUUGAAACCUCAAGGGAGGUUUCUGAAAAUAUCCCAAAUAAAUAUGGAUCUAUCUAAUGGGUUGCUCAUAGGGCAGUCAUUAAGAUAUAUUUUAGAUGUCAUAUUUUUGAAAAUGUAAAAUUAAUAAGAAAAAAUAAAUAAAUACAAGAAAGGGUAGAUAAGAUUAAAUAGGAAAAAAUAUAAAACCACAAAAGAGGGUAAUAAAUGUUAGUAUGUGCAUAUACAUGAUACAUUAGAUUAAUGUUAGGUGUGUUAAUGAGUGCCCUAUGGCUAGGCAUGGCCAUGGUUCCAUUUGGAACCGGGAACCGUACCGAAAUCGGAACCAGAACCAUGGAACCAGAACCAUGGCAGAACCUUGGAUAAAGGUUCCAGUUUUGGUUCUCUAAAAAAUAGAACCAGAACCAAAACCAGAAUCGCCAGAUUCAGAACCGUUAAAAAUAAUUAAUAUAAGUAGUGAGAUAAUUCAAAAAAAAUUAGUUGUGUUUAAUAGGUUUUAAGAAAGUUUAAAUUUUAUGGACUUUCUAUAUAUUUUACUAAUUAUUUAAUUCUUUCUAUUCGCCUAAUAUCUAUCAUUAUAAUUUGUAAGUAUUAAAUUAUUACUUACAAUUUUUUUUUUGCUUAUUUGCUAUCAAAAAAUGGCAAGUUUUGAUGGUAGUAGCUCAUCCUCAAAAUCCAGCAAGCAAAAAAAUAUUUUUUGCAAUAUUUCUUCAAAUGAAAUCUUCAAUAUUGAUAAUUGUCCAACUCAAGAAAGUCAACACAUGACAACCAUUUGAUAGUGUAACGUAUUUUUUAAUUUGAUAAUGUAAUGUACUUUUCAUAAAAUUUGUAUUGUCUAUUUAUUACUUCUUACUUUGUAGAAUAAUAAUAAAAUUAAAAUAUGAUCUUUAUUUUGUAUUUAUUUUGUACAUUCUGUUUGAAAUUUUUAAUAUAUUGUUAUAUUCAUAUUAAAAUUGUUAAGGAAAAAGAAAUAAAUAAAAUUGUAGGGUACCAUACGGAACCAGAACCAGAACCAUAAGGAACCAAAAUCAGAACUAUGCGGUUCUGGUUCAACCUUUUUGAAGAACCAGAACCGUCGAUUCUGAAACUGCGACCAUGCCUACCUAUGGCACCCAUUAGCAAAAUCCAAUAAAUAUAACUAUUGUUCUGGCAUCCAUUGGUGGACCUAAGUGUAGGAAUCAAAGCUGAAGCAGUAGGUAGAUAUAACGUAUAACUUAUUAAGUAAGGAAAAAGAACUCUGAUUUGUUUAAUAAACAGAAAAAAUUUUGAUGCACUUGAAUUAAGUAGAGUUCAUAAAAGAGCAUAUUCUAUUAGCUAGUAAAAAUCGUGCCUGAUGUCAAUAAUGAGGGUAAAAAUUUUAGUCAAGUUUCAUAAAGAUAAGGUAAUAGAAGACGUUAAAAUCAAUACGAAACAGUAAGAAAUGAACGCAACCAAACUCUCAUAACAUGAAUUGAAAUAAGAAAAAGACUAAUAAUAUCUGUAACUAACAGUUGCAGGGUAAGUUUUCAAUAAAACUAUUCAUGUUAGUAGUAUCAAUGCGCUAAUUGUAUUCACAAGUGUGUUAAUGAAUAAAGUAAUUAAAGUUGUAAUAUAUGAACAUCAUUUGUUGGCUAAACAUCUACAUGCAACCAAUAACAAGUGUGGUAAUAAGAAAAAAUGGUGCUACUGCAUCGAGCGUGAAGGAAUGGGUAGUGUUUACUACCCAUUGAAAAGGAAAGCACAUAAAAACCGAUGAUUCUUCUGGAAAAAAAAACGCAGAAAAUGCGAGUCGUAAUUAGGGUCGAUCCCUAGUCUGUCAAGACAAGUGUUCAACUCCCUUUCAUAAUACUUUAAUACAUUAAUAUUUCCUUCUUGUUUUUCUACCCCAUGUAGUGUCCUUUAAUUCCUUGACAUUGCAAAUGAUUGAGAGAAUGCCUUUCACAUUAAUCGUUGCUUUCACAUUAACCGUUGCUUUAUGUGUUGCACAUUUGAUUAUGUUAAGAACUCUUAUCAUAAUUAUUUUCUUUGGCUGUAAAAAAAAGAAAAAAAUCUCAUCAGUUAUUUGUUGCUAGAACUCUUAUCACAGAAUGAGAAACAGAUGGGCAAGGGGAAAAAUGGUAAAUUACACUUCACCCCGUAAUUUACACCCUUGUGUCACUUUCCUCCUCUCAAGUUCAUUUAUCAUCACUUUAUCCCCUUUAAAAUUUUAAGGGACAAAAGUGCCCCUUCAAUUGGUUUUUUUUUUUUUUUUUGCUUUUCCUUUUGUUUUCCCUUUUUUUCAUAAAUGCAACAUAUUUCGAUAACAAAAGUAUAAUAAUUAUUUCAAUGCCCACAUAGAAUUCAUAACAUUAUGUAAACAAGAAUAACAAGGUUAGUUGAUUUGCUGAGGUGAUGAUUGACAACUUAUUGUGCUACAAAAAAAAUUGAUUAAUUAUUCCACUAUUUAUAUUUAGUUUUAUAUUGCUCAUACUUCGAAGGCAUACCCAUUCAAAUAUUCAAUUACCAUAAAUUUGCGACUAUUACAUUCUCUUGUAAGUACUUCAAAUAUAGCUUGACAUGGUAUAGUUCAUGAUUAAUCAGUCAUUCAUGGUGACAAAAUAACAAAUCCAAAGACUGCAUAAAAAAAUGAAAAGAUGCGAUUAUACAAAUAACAAGUUCAUUCUAAAAAUGUAAAAAAAAAAAAAAAAGACAUGUGAGAAUUUAGUUGCAUGGAAAAAAAUCAAGAAGCCAAGAGGAAAAAAAGAAAAAAAAAUGAGAAAAGAAAGGAAGAGGGAAAAGUGUGUGCGCGCACACACAAAGAAAGAGUAUAACAAUAGGGGCAUAUUUGUCCAAUGAUUCUUAGAGUCGAUAAAAAGGUAUUAAAUGUUGAUAAACAAAAUUGAAUGGUGCAAAGACAGACAGAAAUAAUAGGGGGGAAGGGUGGUUGAUUGGGAGGAGAAGUAUAAUUCACCCAAAAGAAUAAAAAGUUAGGAGCUUCCGAGUGAAAAAUCAGGGAGGUUCUAUAUGAGCUACGGUUGAUUGAUUAUAAUAGAAGAUCACAAGGAAGUAAACUUCAGGGCUCCAAAUUAUUUCCUUUUUCUUUCAGUGCACCAAAAUUUUCUUAGAUGAGCGGUAAGUAAAGUCAUAGACAUAGUAAGAUUUUUUUUAUGUUAAUUUUCUUUUUUCAAGUAAGACAUGGUAAAUUUCUUUUCUUUUUUUUUCUGAGAAUAUAUGGUUUAAAUUUUUUUUUUUUUUUGCACCAGUAAAGAGAAAUGCUUAUUUGUUAAGGAAAAAUAGCAUUCUCCCGAUACUAAUCCAUACAUGUUUUCUGCGUAUACUAGGAAAGUUGAGAUAGCAGCAGAAGUUUAUAAGCCGUGAAGCAAGAGAAACUUCAUAUAGAUAACCUUAACUGUAGGAGAGAUGCUUUCUAAAUUGCCGUAACGUUACAAAGCAUGAUUAUAGCAGGAAACUUGAAGAUUGACUUUUCAGGGAAAAAAUUUGAAAAGAAAGUUGGAGAUUGAUGUUUGAUAUUACCAAUAAAGAAAAGAAAUUUGGAGAUUGAUUUUUGAGGGAGAAAAAGACAAUAAAUUAAGUAGUAGCUUUUGAGAAGAAUUCUACAAAGAAAAUAAAAGGGUCUAUUUAACGGGUGUUCAAUGAAAAAAUUGAAAGCAAAUGAAAAAGUCGUUUAUGAUAAAAAUUCAUAACAAAUUAAAAGCAGUGUAAACAUAAAGAAAUAGAAAUUGAAUAAUGAUUCCGCGUUGCCCAAGGUGCUAUUUAGAUCACAUGUUAAAGGCAUAAAAUUAAAUCUAUUCUUCUAUACCAAAGAGCUGAUUGAUUGAUUAUUACAAUGGAGAAUCAACUGGUUGUUAAAUUGUGAAAAUUACAUAAAUAAAGAGUUAUUGAUGUGACCAAUGUAAAAGGAGUCCGAGUAAAACUUACCUAAACAACUUAGCAAAAUUACAGGUGAACAGCCAGUCAUAAUUUUUAUAAUUGUACAUAAUAAAAGAUAAAGCAUUGUGUGAUAUGAUAUGAUAGGACUUCCCAUCAGAAAAUGACAUUGCCUCAAUUAGUGGCUGGCAAUUGCUGUAUUUAAGUUUAUUUGACAGAUAGGCUGUAGAAAUUGGGUACAAAAUUUCCUCUUUUUGUCUGUCUAUACUGCCUUUUCAAAACUUUACCUACCUCAUUAAAAUAACAUAUCUAUUCCAUAACAAUUGAAACCACUUCCGCUGGAACUAACGAUUUCAUGGGAUUAUUAAGCCUUAUUUCAAGCAGAAAAAUUGGUCGCAAAAAUGAUAAACUAUUUACUGAUCUUGCAAACCAGAAAGGCUGGAAAAAAUGCCCCCAAUGCAAGUAUUUUGUUGAGCGCAAAAGCGGAUGCGAUCAUAUAAAAUGCAGGUUUGAAUUCUAAAUUUUUUCUUCAAUUGCUUCUUAUUCGUGAAAUUUAACGACUUCAUUAUUUCCUACAUCAUUGUAAUUUAUUUAUUUUUUUGAAGACGGUUCCGUUAAUUUCUUUGAACCUAUUAUUACUGAUUCUCUGCAUAAGAUUUGUCAGAGUUAAUCGUCUAUGUCGAAGCCAUUAUGGGUUUUCAACACUUGAUUUUCUUCACCACUUAUAUUAGCAUGGUUUAAAAUCUUUUAUAUGCGUGUAAAUUCUUUUUUUUUUGUUGCAAACGUAAUUCCAUUUUUUUUUUUUGCACAUUGAAGAAAUAAUUUCUUGUGUAGAUGUGGAACCGAAUUCUGCUACAAGUGUGGUAAUAAGCAAAAAUGGUGCUACUGCAUCGAGCGUGAAGGAAUGGGUAGCGUUUACUACCCAUUGAAAAGGAAAGCACGUCAAAAAAGAUGGUUCUUCUGGAAAAAAGAAGGCAGAAAAUGCAACUCAUAAUUAGGGUCGAUCCCUAGUCUGUCAAGACAAGUGUUCAACUCCCUUUCAUAAUACUUUAAUACAUUAAUAUUUCCUUGUUCAUUUUCUACCCCAUGUAGUGUCCUUUAAUUCCUUGACAUUGCAAAUGAUUGAGAGAAUGCCUUUCACAUUAAUCGUUGCUUUAUGUGUUGCACAUUUGAUUAUGCUAAGAACUCUUAUCAUAAUUAUUUUCUUUGGCUGUAAAAAAAAGAAAAAGAAAAAAUCUCAUCAGUUAUUUGUUGCUAGAAAUCAUGUUAAACCAAAAAAAAGGUUCUUUUUCUUUGUGUUGUAAUUGGGAUGAGCACACGAAAAAUAGAGAUGGACAACAACAUACACAAAUAAAAUUGUAGAACACAGGGUAGCGCUUCAAAGUGCGACUUGGCUUUUUUGUUUGAGCUGGACCAUUAGCUAAAUUAAGGUCAAUUGGGCUUGGCAAACAAAAUGAGGCCCAAAGGUAAAAGAUAAAGCACUAAUAGGCUAAUGGUGAUGAUAAAUCGACCAAUAAAUCCACCCAAUAUGGCCUGAUACCUGGACCCAUAUCAGAUCCGUCAAAUUAUUCCGAGUAUGGAUUGGAAUUUAAUUUCAUUAUCCGGAUCCGGAUUCGGAUCUAUUUUGUCAAAUCAAAAAAAAGGGUAGGAUACGGAAUAUAGUAUUCCGACUCUGAUCCGGAUAUAAAUGAAUUAAUAAUUGAAAAAAAUAUAUUUAUCAAUAUAAUUUGAUUAGGGUGAUGUAUUGAGUAAAGUCAAUUUGAUUUUUUUUGUAUUAGUUAUAAAUUAGUUUACAAUUUUUUCUCAUUUUUGUUAGAAUUUGUAAGUUUUGAUAGAUUUUUUUCGGGUAGACCCGAUCCAGAUCCGAGACCUGUCGGAUCCGGAACAUAAAGUAGAAGAUCGUCUGGGGUAAACGGGUUGAAUCCGAAUCCGAUAUAGUAUGCCGGGUCCGGGUCCAGAAUAAUGAAUUCUGCCCCGGACCUGGUCCGUUGACAAGCCUAUGGCCUGAGAACCAGCAGUCAAUUUUCUUCAGUAAAGAAGGAAAAACAAAUAUAUAUAUAUAUAUAUAUAUAUAUAUAUAUAGUAAAUCUUUCCUACACUGACGGUGUAUACAUUAUUAUCGUUGGAUUCUUGAUAUGUGUGCAAAAGUUGAAUUUCAAAUUCAAAUUUUGCAUAGUUGUCAUUCAUCCAAUGUUGAUAGUGUAUACACUGUCAGUGUAGGAAAGAUUAAUCCAUAUAUAUAUUGUAGUUGUCUUACGACUUGAAAAUUCCUUAAGAUGAUUUUGAAUUUUGGUCGCCCCAAUGAAUGAUGCACAUAGACAAUGGUAUAGCCAUUUUUGCUGCUUGUGUUUUGUCUCUUUUACAGCAAUAUACAGGAGCAAAGAAAUAAAGAAUAAUUGCACAGAAAAGAAAUUUUUGUGCAACUAACAUUUUGUAAGAAUGUCUAUAAAAAAAAUUUUCAAUUACUAACCCGAUUACCCGAUUAUAAAAUUGAGUGCACAUAGUUUGAGUGUAUAUCCCCAACAAUUAAUCGGUUCUCGACUAAAGAUUUACCAUCUAGAUUUACCUCUUCUUCCACAACUUUUUUUAUCCCAUUCGAAAGAUUUACCAUCUAGUUUGAUGAUUCAUUAUGAUCAUGGAAAUAAUGAAUUUUGAUGGAAAAUAGGUCACAAGUGAUUUUCAGUCCUAGAUUUUGGGUUCUCAAGGUAUUGGGUAUUUAGGGAUUUUUGGGUACUCUCAAUCAGGUGUUUUUGGAACAAUCUAUUUUGACUCUCACGAUAAGGGUUUAUUUAGAGGUAUCAAAAUGGGUGAUUUGGGCGGGUUUGGGUUGGGUAAAAUAGAUAAUAGCUAAAAGUGAGUCAACUCAUUUAUACCCAUUUAAUUAGAUGGGUAUAAAUAGGCAAGUCAAAAAAUGAAUUGGGUAACCCAAUUAUCCAUUUAUAACCCAUUUAUUUUAACUUUUUGUAAAUUCAUUUAAAUUCAUUUUUGCAAACUAAGUUAUCAAUUUACACCAUCCUUUGCACCCAUCAUUAGUUUUAAACAUUUACUUAUAAUGCUCAAUAAGCCUAAUUAUCAAUUUUUUCCAUCCGUACUCUAUGUCGCAAAAUUACAUACUAUUUAGUAAUUAAACAAUACGAAUAUAAAAAUUUGAACUAAGUACUAUAAAAGUUAACAUAAAAACUUAAUCCAAAAAUUUUGAAUCUCUAGCAUUUUUUUGUGUGUAAAUUUAAAUUUUUAUUUUGGAAAAGUAAGAAAAGAUGCUAAAACUUGCCAUAAAUUGGUAAUGCUGAAAAAUGAGCAAGUUAACAAACUAAGAGAAAAUAAAAUGAUAAGAUAAAACCAACAAAUAAUAAUAACAAUAAAACAAAAGUAGUUAAAUUCAUGACAAAAUGAAAAUUUGAAAAAACAAUGGGUGGGAGAAGAGAGGAGGUUUGGGGGAAGACAAUUCUAAAUGGGUUAAUUGGAUUUGAUAGAUUACCCAAUAAUAUCCAUUUAUAAUAAUACCCAUUUAAAUGGGUAUUAUUGGGUAACCAAUUUAAACUUAUAUGCAAAAAUUUGAGGUGCCCAUACUUAUCUAUUCAUGAGCGAGUAUGGAUAAAUUUAAUUGAAUGGAUUUGUUUGACAGCUAUAGGUUUAUUCAUAGUCAAAUGGCUUUGUGGAGCAUGUGCAGGUGACUUCUAUUAAUGAGCGAGUAUGGAUAAAUUUAAUUGAAUGGAUUUGUUUGACAGCUAUAGGUUUAUUCCUAGUCAAGUGGCUUUGUGGAGCAUGUGCAGGUGACUUCUAUUAAUUUUAACCACAAAAAACGGAAAAAAGAAAACAAAAUGGACUAUUUGAACACUUUGAAUAGUUGAAUGGGUUGACCAACUCGUUUUAUGUGAGUUAGCCACCAAGUGAAGCAUAAAAUGUAGAUCUGGCUACGUGUUAGAAAUUCAAACCUUUACACCUGCAAUAAAAUUUAAAAGGUACGUAGUAAUACAUCUCUUUGAGAUAGAGGUAAGAACACACUCUCUCUAAACCCCGAUCGUCUAGUUGGACCCUCCCUUAAAUAGAUUAGAGUAGAAGUAGUGUAAGAGGUGAUGAUUGAUUUAAGAGAGAAGAGGGAGGGGGGGAGAAUAGUUGAAUAGGUUGAUUGGAAAGAGUCUAUGCGCUUUUUUUUCUAACUUUUUUUGUUAACAAUUAAUGCAUCACGAUCAUAAUAUUAGAAAUUAAUGCAUAAUAAGAAAUGUGAAAUAAAAAUAGAAAUACUUAGAUUAUUUUGGAUAAAGUAUACUUGUUCUUUUCUUAUCGUAAUUCAUGACAAUUGAUAUUUUAAUAGGAAAAUAACAAUCUAUGUUGAGCAGUGAAAAGAAAUAAUUUGGCAAAUUUUUGGUCAAAAUUUAAAUAGCAAGAAUGUAAAAUGAGGGGAAAGAGUUUAAACAUACUAGCCCAAAGAAGAUACAAUGAGAUAAAAAAGAAAAGGCCUUUUUGGCAAUUUUACUAUAAUGAGGGUAUAGUGGCUUGAAUAUUAGUCAUUACGGGGCAAUCUAUUGAUUUCAUGAAUAGAGCGGGUGUUUUGCAACAAAAUCCUAAUUAUAGGGAGCAAUAUGUAAUUAACCCUUUUAGAAUAAAUAGAAAUCUUUGGGCAUUCAAAAAGGAUUUUCUAAUGUGUACUCGUUAAUCUACUUAAAAUUCAUCUAACCUACCCUCUUUAAUAUUUAUUUACUUUUUCAAUUAAUCUUAUAUUUUAAAAAUAUGACAUUUGAAAUAUAUUUUAGUGAGUGUCAAAGACCUUUUAAGAAAAAUCGAAAAGUCAACACCAUCCAGGAAUGUAAUUUUUCAAUUGAUACCUUUUCCCUUUUUUCUCUCUCCCUUUUUUGACAUAUAUCUUUUGGCUUUUCCGAUGAUUAAAGGGUGUACGCAUAGAUAAAGACUAUUUUUUAGAAUUUAAUAAUUUAUGAAUGAUGUGGGAAAAAAUUUAAUCCUUCAACAACAAUAUCAUCUUUUCCGAGGGUGGUUAAUGGACGAAGCCUUUUACCCUAAAUGGUGAUAUAAAUACAGUAAAAGUCACCCACCCGUACUCAAGAUCUACAUAGUUUAAUUAAACAAGUAAACAGGAUACGCACCAAAAUGUUACCUUUUGUUAUUAGAGUAAAAUGUAGUUUUGAUCCUCAAAGUUUGACAAAAUAGUGACACUAGUCCCCAAAGUUUGGGGCAAAGCAAAUUUAGUCCUAAGUGUUUCAAAUUUGAAGCACAUUUAAGGCAAUUGGCUGCUUUUUCUCAAUUUCUACUCGAAUAGCACCAAGUGCGGUCACGUGUCCCAUGCUGAAUAUUUUCGUUUAAAAAAUUAAACAACAGUUUACUGAUAUUAAUGAUUAAUUAAUUUCAUAAACACACGCAUUAAAUGAAUCUAAAAGAGAAAAUAAAAGAGACAUUAACAUAAAUAUAAAAAAAACACAUAUUGGGGCAUCCCCAAGAUCAUUUCCAAUCCAAACCUUCUAUCUUUUCCCAUCUCCUCUAAAAAAAAUAAAAAAUCAAGACCAAAACUGUGCCCUCAAAAAAGCAGUCAAAGCUUUGGAGACCAAAGAAAAUUUUGGACAAUUCAAGAUAAUCCGAAGAAUCAUGAAGCAACAUAUCUCUAAGAAUUAAAAAAAAAAAUGAAUGAUCGGAAACCUUCAAUAAAUGGAUCCACUUCGAUUCUUGUAAUUUUUGCAUAGAUGUCAACAUUGGGGUCAUGGUUGCUCAUACGAAAGUAUUUUUUUUGGCCAGUGAAAAGUUAAACUUUGGGAACAUUAAAGCAAAACACAUGACUGCACUUGCCAAUAUUUCAGUAAGAAUUGACAAAAAUAAGUCAAUUGUUCUAAAUAUACUUCAAAUUGAAAUCAUUAGGGACCAGCUUUACGUUAGGGAAACUUUUGGGGACUAGUAUCGCUACUUUGAGAAACUUUAGGACCAAAGUUACAUUUUUCCUUUGUUAUUAAUUAUGGUAUUCACAUGUACUUUUCAACUCGAAGAAUAAUAAAUGUAGAAGUCCAUUGAGUAUGGAAGGAGAAAAGGUUAAACCUGUCUGAAGAUAAGGGAAGAAAAGAGACGGUGAUUUCAGCUCUGAUUACAUUCGAAUGAAGGAUUAGACUUUCAGAGGUAAUCUUUGUCCAGAAGGGUUUAGAAAAAUCUCUGUUUAUAUUGCUACUCAUCAGCCAUGAAGAAAUUUAGGGUUUAGGGUUUAAAUCAUGUGCAGAAUUCUUAUACUUCCACUGACAAAAACAUCAGAACAAAUAGUACAUAAUUUUGCAAUAUUUAUUCCUAUGCAUUCUUUAGAAAAUCUGAGCCACAUUUAUUAAGAAUCUUGUAUUAAUUUUUCUAGGUACUAUGAGUUUUACUUUGUUCAAUGGAGAGGAGUUACACGGAGCUUAAAGAGGAAAAUAGAAGAAGAAGAAAAGGUGAAAAAUGCUGAAAAAAAUGUUAAGGCUCCUACUUGUCAAAUAUGCGCGAGGAAGAUCCAAAAAACAAGGGUAUUUAGCGGCAGAGAUAGAUGUAUUGAGAAUUAUAUUGCUGCAAAGGUUGAAGGAAAAGUUCUCAACAUAACAUGCCCUCAAGUAGGAUGCAUAGAACGGUUGGAUCAAUUUGAAUGCGAAAAAAUCAUCGCAAAAAAACUCUUUACGAGAUGGUGUGUUCUGCUUUGUGAAAAUGCUGUCACAGUGUUAAGAAAAUGCUACUGCCCGAAUCCCGAUUGCUCAGAGCUGAUCCUUGAUGAAUGUUGUCAGGAAAAUCUGAGGAAAUCAGAAUGUCCAAUGUGCAAGAAAUUCUUCUGUUUCGAUUGUAUUCUUCCAUGGAAUGUAUGUGAGGAGAUGCAUGCAAAGGGAUCCAAGGAACAUGAAAAUGAUAUCUUAUUUGAAGAGCUUGUGAAGGCUCAGAGAUGGACUAAGUGCCCCGGAUGCCACAAUCAUGUUGAGCGCAUUAAAGGCUGCAGCUUUAUGAGAUGCAGGUAUUUGAUUUCUCAUAUUCUUAUUUUUGGUGUUUCACCCAGUUUUUAUUGGCCAUGUGAAAGAUGCUUUCAUUUCUUGUUGAUUGAUCCUAUAUGCAUUUUAGUUCUUUUUUUUUCUCUUUUAGUGCUUCUCUUUGUUUUUCUGGCUGUUCGAGAGAUGUUUUAACUUCGCUUGAUGCAUUGCCAAGAUCAAUCAAACUUCAUCAAAAUUCACUCCCAUUGAUCGAUCCCCAAUCCAGUUUUGUUGUUCAGUGAAACAUAGAACUGCCCUUGUUUUGCUUUAAUCUUGUAUGCAAGGUCAGUAUAGAAAGAAAAUAUAUCUGAUGUGAAUAAGAACCUACAAAAUUGAAUAUUUACUCAUCAAAUUUUAUUUUUUUUUUUUUUUGCUUAGUUGUCCAAAUAAGAUUUUUUUUUUUUGGUACUAGUCACGUAUACAAACUUAAGGUAUACCAGAUAAUUCAUAGUACUCUAACUUGGACAAAGUGGCCUGAGCUUCUUAGAUUUACAGUCAGUCUAGCUUGGCCAAAUUGAAGUCUCAAAAGUAAACUUAUAAGCAUGCUUUGAUGUGCAAAUUUAUAGAAUAAAAUUGUCGGUUCCAUAUAAGCAUGCUUGGACAAAGGGAAUGACAAAUGCACUCAUAUUACAUAACUUUAACGAGUAUGUACACUUGUCUUCUUUGAACUGUGAAAAUUGCGUUUGCUUGUGAUACGUUAUUGAAUAGGUAAUUUUCAAUUCCACCUGGAUAAGUCACGUAUUAGUUGGAAACCAUGCAUAUUGAGUUAUGACAAUUUUCUUAGUAAAUAACCGAUGCUGGUGCUAAUAUUCUUCACAAAUAGGUUAGUGUUUCCAAAUUGUAGCAAGUUCUCAAUGCACUGAUGCUGAUAAAUUGGCAAUGCAGCUGGUAUUCUACAAAUAAUUCCUAGUGACAAAUUUGUCUUGUAAUUGUCGUUAAAGUUUCAAGUAUUGUAGAGGAAUCAUAUACUUCUUUGAGAAUUUGAUGCAACAAAUGUUUCAAGGAGAAAUUGCAGAUGGGCACUGGUACUAGUCAUGAAAUUAUUAACUGCCAAUCUCUUUGGUUUACUUUUUUCUAUUGAAAUAUUAUUUUUGCAUGUAUAGAUGAAGGAAGCAAGGUACAGGUCUCUUGUUUCACUUUCUGUGAUUCAGUUAACUUGUUUUUAGCUUGGUUUUGCCAGAUUUCACGCUAUCAAGUAUAAAAAAGAAAUAUUUUUUACCUCAAGUUUCUUUAUCACAGUCAAUUAAGUAUGUAUAUAUAGGUCCCUACCUGAAAAUUUCAUGGUCUGCAAAUUUGCCUCCUGUUUCGCUUAUUAAUUCUCUUCAAGCUUGUUAAAUUCUUUAUACAGGUGUCAUACAGGAUUCUUCUACAAAUGUGGAAAACAUAUGCAACCUGUUGUUAGCGGUGUGGAGCGGUGCAGGUGCGACAACUAAGAUUUCACUGAGUAUGAAGCUCAUUGAGUGUGGCGUAUAUAGUUUGAUGAGAUAUUGUAUUGAAUGACUACAUAGUUUCAUUAGGCAUCUAUUUGACAAUGUUUUUCAAGUUUUACUUAUGUAAGACACUAUUUGGCAUCUAUUUGACACAGGGGCGGAGCUAGAAAAAAAUCUUAGUGGAGGCAAAAAUAACACUAAAAUUUUUUAUCUACUCUUUUUUUAAUUUUUUAAGCAAAAAAAAAGUCUCAUGCAUAAAAUCACCAUUUCACAAGUUAAAAUAUUUAUCAAAUAACCCAUUUAUUAGUUAUUACAUUAACUAAUCAAUUUUCAAAUUUCUUUAAAACAGUAAUAGUCUCAUGCUCUAGAAAUAUAUUUGCAAACAAAUUUAAAAUAAUAAUAAUAAGAAGUAAUUGUUUAGAACCUGAUUUUGAUGGUCUUCUAAAGUUGGUGAAAAGAGCUGCAAAAUGUGGCGGACCCAAGUCCUAGAAGAUCAAUUGAUUCUGGUGUAAUCUCUAAAUAGGAUGAAGUGAUCAAAAGAAAGAGUAACAAGCUAUGGUUGUGGAAAAAAAAUGGCUCUUCUAUGUAUGUUGGGGAGUGGGGACAACCGAGAGCCAGAUGAGGAAAGGGAAAUUGGGGAGUGGGGACAAAGGAAGUAAAUGAUAAUUGGAUGAAGUGAUAAAAAGAAAAAGUAGUUGGCUUGGGUGUGGAAGAAGAGGAGCCGGUUGUGAAGGAAAAUUGGGGACCACAGGAGUAAAAGGAACUUGGGGAGUGGGGAUCAAAAGGAAUGAUUGAUAUAAUUGGUACUUGGCCCUGUUGGUGAGAAAAUGGGAACUAGAGGAGGAAAGUGAAUGAUAUAAAUUUUGUGACCCAUUCUUUCACAUUUUUUCUAAAAAAAAUUCUGAGAACACUUUUAAAAUUAUGUCAAAAUUAUAGAUGUAUUAUAUGAAUUUAAGGCCCCCAGUGCCCCCACUUUAAAUCCGCCCCUGAUUUGACAUUGUUAAAAAAAUUGGUGGGAGACAAACUUGACCAAAAAUUCAUUUGCCAAACAAGCCCCAUGAUCUUCUAUUGAAAAUCUACAGUUCUUUCGUCAUUUUCUAUGUAAGAUAAAACGGUUUUUCUAUUGUUGUACUAUAUCCUUUUUGUUUUCUAUUUUUGAGGUUUCCGUGCCACUUUUUUAAUAUUAAACACAUCCUUGGGUUAAUUAUGUGCAGUCUGUGUUAUUUUUGGCCUCUUUGUGGAAAAGUUGAGAAUCCAAUUGUAUUACAUAUUUCAAUGUUUAAUGUGACGGUAAUAGAACUAUAGUUAUUGUUUUCUAGGCAAUCAACAGGAGGAAUAAGGCCUUAGAAAUCUUGAUUUCUUAAAUUGCGGAACAAGUGUACAAAGCUUUGUUUCAGCUUAUGUGUGGAUAGGGCAGAUGUAUGAGGUAUAAUGCCAAUAGAUUUUUUCUAUUUAUUUUUUAAGGCAUAAUGCCAAUAGAUUGACUUACCCAAAACCUAAUCCUCAAGGAGAAAAUUCAAACUAAAAUAUACUGCAUGUUAGUGUUGCUAGUUUUGUAUAAUUUUGACUGAGGUACAAACCAGACUGUUCCACAAUUAAUUUUUAAUUUUUUUUUUAAUGUAUGGCCUGGCUGUUCUUUUUAAAAGAACUUCUUUUUAGUUUGGGCUAUUUGAUUGAGGGUUGAAUCAUUUUCCAGUAACAUUUGACCAUUUGUCGACAACCUUUACUGCAACUUGAUUGUAAACCUCACAACUCAGUAAUAGCUAGGUAAUAUGUACUUGAUUAAUUUUUUUGUUGUAGUCUUGCUACAAUGUCAAUGUUGUUGGAUAAAUGGCUACAACAAUGUUAACACUAUCUGCUUGAGUCGUGCUAGAAAGCACUGUACUAAGAAACUAUUUCAGAGUAUUGAAAUAUUUCCCCAAGAUUAAACAAGUCUUCUUCUAUUUAUUGCGAACAAGAAAGACAACCUUUCUUCUUGUUGCAAACUAGAAGGACCAGAACUAGCAAAUUAAAACCAGCAGAUAUAUAUAUAAAACGGAAGAUGAGAACAGAAUUAUCAGGAAGAUAUCAACUAACAAAAAAUAAAAGAGAGAGAGAGAGAGAGAUAGAGCAGCUAUCAAAAGAUAUUAACUGAAGCUGCUGGGGUGAUUUUCUGAGGGAGAAGUGGAUCCUAUUUAUAGACUUCAGAGUGAGGUGCAACCCUUCUCACUUCCGAUGUGGGACAAAGACUGCAACCCUUCUUACUUCUCAAUGUGGGACAGAGAAAAUAAUACUUCUCAUUUUUUCGAUGUGGGACAAAGAAUAAUUUUGAAAUACUAUAUAUUUUACAACAAUCUCCCACCUAUUUCAAAAAAAUUCUUUGGAUAAAGGAAGAAUUUUAAAAGUACUCUGCUGGAUUUGGUUGAAAUGUAAUUAGAUUGGUGUCUUUUGGACUAUGAACCAAACAUAGAUUGAUAAAAUAUGAUCUACAGAAUUAUUGGUGAAAUAUAAAUUUCUAUGAACCAAUAACUCUUGAUGUAUGACAGAGAUUUUAUCAAUCACAUUACAACCCAUAAUUUGCUGUUAACGCGAUUUUGCGCUUUUUGGCCGUGCGCCUGCCUGGUUAUUCAUGAGAGCUCUAAAGAUUUGACCAAUGAAUCUUAUAGGAGCGGCCCCACUCCACUCUCAUAUAGGUGAAUUCAUCAAGUGUGUAUUGCUUUAACUACACCUCCCUAAUGGGAUAUGAAUUCAUUAAGAGUUUUAACUCAUCCUCACAAUUACUCAAAGCACUUAUCUCUGGAGGGACUUAAAUUGAAGUGCUUUACCAUCAAUAUUGACUUGUUAUUACCCAUAUGAACAUACUUCAUGGGAUCACCAAUCACAUAGGUUGGGUUACUGUCUCUAUUGACAGCUUGUUGGUCGAAGUCCCAUUUCUUUUAUAGUUUGAAGAAUCAAUUUUCUUCCUACGGGUUUAGUUAGAGGAUCGGCCAAAUUCAACUCUGACUUUACAUAAUCAAUGGAGAUAAUUCCAUCUCUAAGCAGCUGCUUUACGACAUCAUGUCUCAAUCUCAUGUGUCGACUUUUACAAUUAUACGAUUUAUUUUUAGCUAUGGCAAUCGCUGCUUGACAGUCACAAUGUAUGGACACAGGAGGCAGCAAAUCCUUAGUUGAAGGAAUAUUAGCUAAGAAAUUUCUCAACCACUCGGCCUCAGUCCCUAUCAAUUCCAGAGCUACAAACUCUGACUCCAUUGUUGAUCUAGCAAUGAUUGUCUGUCUAGCAGAUUUCCAUGCUAUUGCACCACCACCAAGGGUGAACACAUAACCACUAGUGGAUUUCGUAUCAUUUGAAUCAGAGAUCCAAUUAGUAUCACUGUAACCCUCUAAUACAGUGGAAAAUCCACUAUACAGGAUACCAAAAUUCAUGGUACCUCUCAAAUAUUUCAAUAGUCUGACUAAUGCAAACCAAUGCUCAUGGUUGGGAUUAUGGGUAUAUCUACUCAGUCGACAUACAGCAUAAGCUAUAUCAGGUCUAGUAAAAUUCAUCAGAUGCAUCAGACUCCCAAUAAUCUGAGCAUAUUUAGACUGAGCAAUUGGGUCACCAUUAUUUUUCUUUAAUUGAGUGUUAGCAUCAUAAGGAGUACUCACAGGUGUCACAUCAUAAUUUUCAAACUUCCUAAGAAGUCUCUCUGUUUAAUGUUCUUGUGACAACAUUAUACCAUCACCUUUCCUUAUGAUUUUAACACCCAAUAUUAUUUUGGCUUCACCCAAAUCUUUCAUAUCAAAAUUAGAAGACAAAAAAUAUUUAGUACUAUUUACAAUAUUUAGACUAGUACCAAAUAUAAGCAUGUCAUCCACAUAUAAACUGAUUAUCACAUAUUGAUCAUUUAUAAUUUUGACAUAUACACAUUUAUCCACUUCUACAGACGAAAAUCCAUCUUUCAUCAAUACUUGAUCAAAUUUCUCAUGCCACUGUUUAGGAGCUUGUUUUAGGCCAUAAAGAGAUUUAAUUAGUUUACAACUUUAUUUUCUUGUCCAGAUACAAUACAUCCCUCAGGUUGAAACAUAUAAAUUUCUUCUUCUAACUCACCAUUUAAAAAUGCUGUUUUAACAUCCAUUUGAUGAAUAACAAGUUUAUGGAUAGAAGCUAAAGCAAAUAAGACUCGAAUAGACGCAAUUCUAGUUACUGGUGCAAAUGUAUCAAAAUAAUCAAUAUUUUGUUUUUGAGAAAAUCCUUUUGCUACUAAACGAGUUUUGUACUUUUCUAUAGAGCCAUUAGAGUUAUAUUUUCUUUUAAAAAUUCAUUUGCACCCAAUAGGUUUUGCACUAGGAGGUAAGUCUACCAAAAUCCAAGUUUUAUUUGUCAAGAUAGAAUCAAUUUCAGAUUUAAUUGCUUCUUUCCAAAAUUUACACUCAGGAGAAGAAAUAGCAUUGGAGUAUGUUAAAGGAUCAUUAUCAACAAGAAAGGUUUGGAAAUCAUUUCCAAAUGAAAAUUCUUUUCUUGGCCUUUUGCUCCUUCUUAAUUCCUCAAUUGGAAUAAUUUCCUUAUUUAUUUCAAUAGGUGCAUGAGAAAUUUUACUAGACAGUGGAAAAAUAUGUUCAAAAAAUUCAGCAUUCUUUGUUUCAAUAAUUGUAUUACAAUCAAGUAUAUCACUUCUUAACACAAGAAAUCUAUAUGCAGCACUAUGUUCAGCAUAUCCAAUAAACAUACAAUCAGAAGUUUUAGAACCUAUUUUCCUUUUCUUAGGUUCAGGCAACAAGACUUUAGCAAGACACCCCCAAACUUUUAAAUAUUUCAAAUUUGGUUUAUGAUUUUUCCAUAACUCAUAAGGUGUUUUGCCAGUCUUUUUAUGUGGGAUUCUAUUUUGUAAGUGACAUGCAGAUAAUAUAGCUUCUCCCCAUAAAUUAUCUGGAGCAUGAGAACUAAUUAACAUAGAGUUCAUCAUUUCUUUUAACGUUCUAUUUUUCCUUUCAGCUACUUCAUUAGAUUCUGGUGAAUAAGGUGGAGUUAUUUCAUGUAUUAUGCCUUCCUGUUCACAAAGGUUAUCUAAAGUUAAAUAUUCUCCACCCCUAUCUGAUCUAAUUCUUUUUAUCCUUUUAUUAAGUUGAUUUUCUACUUCAGACUUAUAGGAUAAAAAGGCAUUAUAAGUAUCAUCUUUAUUUCUAAGUAAAUAAACUUUGGUAUAUCUAGAAUAGUCAUCUAUAAAUGUGACAUAAUACCUUUUCCCACCUCUAGUAAUUGUUUGUUUUAAAUCACCUAAAUCAGUAUGAAUUAAAUUUAAUAAUUCAGUUUCUCUAUGGAUAGUUAUACAACUUUUCUUUGUUAUUUUAGCUUCUGCACAUAUUUCACAUUUAUCCAUAUUAUCAUUAAUACCAGAAAUUAGGCCACAUGAUUGCAUUUUCUUUAUAUAACCAAUAUUAACAUGUCCUAAUCUAGCAUGCCAUAAAGAAAUGGAAUCAACAAUAUAAGCAGAAGAAGAUGCAUUUUCAUUGAUCACAUUGGAAAUAUUAAGUACAAAAAGUCCCUGAUUACAAUAGCCCUUGCCCACAAAUACAUUAUUUUUGGUCAUUAUGAUCUUUCCAGAUUCAAAUGACACUUUCACUCCAACUUUUCCUAGCAAUGCUACGGAAAUCAGAUUUGCCCGAAUGUUGGGCACAUGCAGCACAUCAUUGAGAGCCAAAGUUUUUCCUGAAGUGAGUUUCAAGAAUACUUUGCCCUUACCCAGAACAUUAGCCGUUCGUGAGUCACCAAGGUAGACCACUUCUUCAUCAUCCCCUAUAGGAGUAUAGGAGGAAAAUGCUUCUCGAUUCGCACAUAUGUGCCGAGUAGCCCCAGAGUCUACCACCCACUCUUUGACAUUGGCUGCAAUGUUCACUUGGGAGAUGACAGCAGCAAUUAUAUCAUCUCCUUCGGUUAAGUGCACCUUAGGAGGGUUACCAUUUGCUCUGUCACCUUUAUUAUGUCUGCAUUGGACUGCAUAAUGUCCUGGUUUUCCACAAUAAAAACAAUUGCCUUUCUUCUUCUUAAAGUUGGGAUUGUUAGGCUUGACAUUAAAAUUUUUGGGCUUGUAAUUCUGGGAUUUAUUGGCGUACCUUUUAUUAUUGCUUUGCACCAGAUUGGCUUUGUAAGCCAUCUCCUUUGCCUUGGUAGCUCUCAACUCCCUUUUGUUUGAAUCCUCAAUGAGGAUGUGCUUCACGAGCUCAUCCAUGGUAUAAUUUUUCUCUUUGUGUUUCAAGUUGUUUUUAUAGUCGGCCCAUGACUCAGGUAGCUUUUCAAUCAGCAUGCCUGCAGCAAAUUUUUCAGGAAGAUUGAUGUCUUCAUUUUUCAAGUCCUCUAGCAGCAUUUGAUAUUCGGUGAUUUGGAUUUUCAUCUCCUUGUCAUCAGUCAUUUGCCAUUGGUUGUAUUUUCCUACGACGAAUUUUUGCUUGGUUGCAUCUUCGGCAGUAAACUUUGUUACCAAGGCUUCCCAAAUUGCCUUGGCUUCUUUGCUGCUACAAUAGACAUCAAAUAAUUCAUUAGAGAGUGUUUGAAAGAUAGUGUGUCGACAUACCUUAUUGGCAUAUUGCCAUGCUUCUUGAGUCUUGGCAUUCGCAGUUGCGGAAGGUUGAGAUUCAGUGAGCGCAUAAGCUACUCCAUGAAUGUCAAGUAGAGAGUGCACACGUUCUUGCCAUCUUUUAAAAUUUUCAUUGGCGAAAAUUUUAAUUUUGGAUACAUCUGGAAAGGGCUUGGCGAAUGGUAGUGCCACUGCAACAGUUGCUGAUGAAGGCUGCGGGGUGCUAACAUUGUCAGAUGCCAUAGUUUCUUAGAUUGUUGGAUAAAUGGCUACAACAAUGUUAACACUAUCUGCUUGAGUCGUGCUAGAAAGCACUGUACUAAGAAACUAUUUCAGAGUAUUGAAAUAUUUCCCCAUGAUUAAACAAGCCUUCUUCUAUUUAUUGCGAACAAGAAAGACAACCUUUCUUCUUGUUGCAAACUAGAAGGACCAGAACUAGCAAAUUAAAACCAGCAGAUAUAUAUAUAUAAAACAGAAGAUGAGAACAGAAUUAUCAGGAAGAUAUCAACUAACAAAAAAUAAAAGAGAAAGAGAGAGAGAGAGAGAGAUAGAGCAGCUAUCAAAAGAUAUUAACUGAAGCUGCUGGGGUGAUUUUCUGAGGGAGAAGUGGAUCCUAUUUAUAGACUUCAGAGUGAGGUGCAACCCUUCUCACUUCCGAUGUGGGACAAAGACUGCAACCCUUCUCACUUCUCAAUGUGGGACAGAGAAAAUAAUACUUCUCAUUUUUUCGAUGUGGGACAAAGAAUAAUUUUGAAAUACUAUAUAUUUUACAACAAAUGUAUAUUACUUCGAAAGGGAGCAUGAUUGACAACCUAAAACCGAUUUGGUUUGCUUAUACAGCUUUUGGAAGCUGAGAAAAGGAAAGAAAAGAAAGGGACUGGAAAGAAAGUUUGCCAAAAUCAUAUCAUGAUUAAAAGAGAAAUCAUUUUAGCAUUUGAUCAGUCUUAAGGUGAUGUUUAGGGAAAGGAACAUUGUAUCAUGCAUUCAAGUUGAGGAUGUAUACGCAUCAUUACUUCAACUUUAGAAUGAUGGUGUUAUUUGUUGGUGACAAUUAGGGAAAAUUAGCUUUAUCAGCCAUCAACUAUUGGAAAUCACAGUGAUGGUUUAUGAAAAUUAGCUUAUCCAAAUGUUUUUGAUUGCAUAUCACUAGGACCAUAUGCCUGAGGUUCUUCCUGAUCAUUUACCAAGACAAUCAUCAUAUUAGCAACUGAAUUCGAUUCUUCCUGAUCGCUUGCCAAUACAAUCAUCAUAUAUAUAUAUAUAUAUAUAUAUAUAUAUAUAUAUAUAAUAAAGUCGUAUUCUCAUUCUUAUUGAUUCAUAUUUUUUCUUUCUUACGUGGCUUAAUGAGACGACAAAUAGUUUUCUACGUGGCUUGCUCUUUUUUUAUUUGGGUUUAUAUCAAUUCUUAGUCCGAUAAGAAUUGUUAGUCCGAUAAGAUAUAUCAAUCAUACUAAGAUAUAUCAAUUCUUAGUCCGAUAAAAAUUGUUAUCACUACAAGAAGUAGAAAAGUAACUAAUUUCAAUUAAUAAAUCAUCUUUUCUUAAAAAAAAUAAUUAUUUGCACGAUUGUGGCUUUAUUUCCUAUAAGAAUUCUUAAUAUUUUUUAAUCAAAUUUUCGCCUCAUAUAUAUAAAUUUUCAUGGGUUUUGUUGUCCAGAAUUUUUGUAAUGAAAUUUGUUUUCAACGAGCCAAAAGAUUCUUUUUUUAAAAACUAUAUUCCUCUUCAGAUGUAAGAAUUUUAUGGAAGUAAAUGCCAUUGUUGAUUAUGUCCCAUGCUGUUCUUAAAUUUUUAAUAAUCAAUUGACUAAGAUAUUUCUUCACGAAAUUUGUGUCUUUAGCUAUUAUUGCUGUUAGUUACUUGAUUUUUUUUUUUGCUAUGUCUGACACUGCUGUUAAAUAUUCAUAUUAUAAACAUUUAACCUAUGCCUCUCGAGUGAUCAUGAACUCAAAGGGAAAAUUUUAUUUUGGUUCCUUUUGCGAAAUUUAUGUAUGUUGGUGUUCAAGGGUUAACGCAACAAGAUAUUCAUGGGCAUAAUAUAUAGUCAACUAAGUCUACAAAUACAAUUUACUAUAAAAUUAUUACCCACUUUAAUACAUCAAAUACCAUAAAUAGUGUGGCUAAUUAAAUCCUGCUUUACUAUCAUGCAGUGAUAAUGGAAAAUCAAUAAAUGCUGAGUUGCACGGACAAAUCGAGGAAAAUAUUCAAAUAGAAGAAAAACAAAACAAGUUUCUGAAGAGUAGAAUAUUAUUUAAUACUAUUUACUGCACUUUUAUUUAUUUUCAAGUUUUUGAAUGUUAUGGUAUUGUUGAAUUUUAUUUUUUUCAUUUUUGAAUUAUUAUUCACUGAAUUUGAUGUUCAAAUUUAUAUUAUAAGAAUACUUUAUAUUACAAUACGCACAUAGUAAUACACUUAAGGCAAGUUAUUAUAGAUUAUAUAUUAAAUUUGUAUUUUAUAUCGACAUUUUUAUAAAAUUGACUAAAUAGUUUAUUUUUUUUCGACGAUUCCCGUUCAACGAACGGGUACAAAACUAGUUAGCAACUGAAUUCGAAUACAUAGUAUUUCAUAAAGAAGUGAUCAGUCCUAACUGACUAAAUUAACUUGUAUCGGGACAAACAUUGGUUAUGAUUCUCGUAAAGCAUAAUUGAAGUUCUGUAUGAUCAAGCACAUGGCCUCAUGACACUAAGGUUUGCAAUACAAAAGAGCAAAUACACCCCUAAAUUUGGGAUAGGUGUCACUAUAACAAGGGACAAUCAAAGCAUGAUACGAGGGUGGACGUUGCAAGAACGAAGUUCUGGACACCAGGUCCUGGAUGAGCUCAUAGCUAUCAAACUAUUGAUGAGUAAAGCUGCUGUCCAGAAGUUGGAGAAGAUUGAAGUGCAAAUCCAGAACAAGGUAACGUUCACUCUCCUCAAGCAAAGGAAAUCUCAGGAAAUGCGAAUGCUCACCUUGAUGGAGGAUAUCUAUAGUCUUAAGUCCUUGUUUCGUAUGUGCUCCUUUUGUUUAAUUAAUAGGAAUCUUAACCAUAUAACUCAUAGGAUAAGCGUGCAAGCGCUAGACUUUGUUGUAGAUCAGGAAUUUUGGAUUCCUCAGUGUUAGUAUGCACUGGUUGUAAAGUUCGAUCAAGUCUUUACUUGAAACUGUAAAGGUUCUUUUCAUCUAUAAAAUCACAUAUCGUUUCGACAAAAAAAAAGCACAUGGGUGAUGUUCUCAGCAUUUACAAAUAAAAAAGAAUCAAUAAUAAAGAAGCUUGUAAAAGCAUUUCUGUUUACUUUCCUAGAAAAUCCUCAACGGCCUGAGCAAGAACUCAUCAUAUUUCCUCUUUCAAACCUUGAAAGAAUCUGUCUACGGUCUAUUUCUUUUACUUCACGGCCUCCAUGACAUUGCUUUAAAUAAUUCAUUUUUAAAAUCUCCGAUGACUUUAAUACAACAAAGCAAGAUAUCGGAUUCAAAAAUUAGAAAAACCCACACAAGAGACUGCACUCAAAGCAUUAACCAUUUAGCAACUGAAAAUUAGUCUCUAACAUGACAUUGAAAUUUUUAGCCAAUGUUCAGAGUUCCCCCGUAC
rnacentral:lncRNA from 1 species